rnacentral:rRNA from 1 species
GACGAACGCUGGCGGCGUGCUUAACACAUGCAGGUCGAACGGAAAGGCCCUGCUUUUGUGGGGUGCUCGAGUGGCGAACGGGUGAGUAACACGUGAGUAACCUGCCCUUGACUUUGGGAUAACUUCAGGAAACUGGGGCUAAUACCGGAUAGGAGCUCCUGCUGCAUGGUGGGGGUUGGAAAGUUUCGGCGGUUGGGGAUGGACUCGCGGCUUAUCAGCUUGAUGGUGGGGUAGUGGCUUACCAAGGCUUUGACGGGUAGCCGGCCUGAGAGGGUGACCGGCCACAUUGGGACUGAGAUACGGCCCAGACUCCUACGGGAGGCAGCAGUGGGGAAUAUUGCACAAUGGGCGGAAGCCUGAUGCGGCAACGCCGCGUGCGGGAUGACGGCCUUCGGGUUGUAAACCGCUUUCGCCUGUGACGAGGCGUGAGUGACGGUAAUGGGUAAAGAAGCACCGGCUAACUACGUG